UUCCCUACCCCGCCGAUUCCCCACCCGGCCACCCUGUCGUGGCGUCGUCCCACCCCCGCCGCACUCACAGCCCCCCUCCUCCCUCCUGGGCUCCUGGCCUCCACCUCGUCCUCCCGCACCCACGAGGCCACGAACGGUGCUCCGCCGCCGCUCCGCCGCGUCGUCGCCACUGCCUGGUCCACCUCAUCGUCCCACACCGCACUGCCACGAACGGCGCUCCGCCGCGUCGUCGCCGCCGCCUGGUCCGCCUCGUCCUCCCUUACUGCCACGAACGGCGCUCCGCCGCGUCGUUCAUAGCCCGCCCCUCCCUGCUGGCGGGCGUGGAGAGAGGGCAGAAGCAGGAUUUUUUUUAGAUUAAGAAUAAAACAUCCGGCCUCUACACUCGCGUUGCCGUUGGAUACCCAUCCCCGUUCCCCAAAUCCACACCCGAUGAAAUGAGGAGGGUGUGGAUGCUAAAUACUUUACCCAUUCGUAUAUGGGUAGGGGAUGGGUAUACCCGUAAGAGAUUGGGUAUGGGGAGGGUAUCCCCAUGUCUGCCCGUAGCUUCAUCCCCUUCAACUCGUCAGUUUCUGGACAAGAGUUUCAUGUCUUCUGUGCAGUUCGUCCGCGCUCGCCUAAUUAAUCAGCUAUUCUUCUCUGCAUCACUCGUCAUGUGCGCACCUGUGCAAGCAAGCAAAAUCCCGCCACAUCAUGAUCUCGCGCACUGCUAGGAUGCCUCUGCAAGCAUCAUUCUGCGCGCUGGAAGAAACCCUAGGCGGCUCGAGUGGAUGGAAGGAUGAGAAGAAACGAUGACGGCCGAGAAGCAACCAGCGACGACGAGCUUCUUCGAUUUGGUAAUUUGUACUGAUCGUCAGAUGCAAGGCAGCGGUAACGGAUGCUCAGCAGCCCACCUCCCACUUGAAUCUUCGAUCUGGUACUUAUCCGUCAGAUGCAAGCUUCUUCAUUUUUUUUCCUUUUCUUUUUCUUUUUUUCAAGAUCUAUUUUGCAAUUCGAUUUGUCUCAUGAUGUCCGUUCUUCAAUUCCUCUUGAGCUUGUGCAUAUUUGGCUAUUAAUUGAUCUCAAUUCUUAUUCGGCAUUCUGUAUAGAGAGUUCAUAAAAGUGCAAGGAUGUGUUUGAGGUUUUAAUUUUUACCCAAUUAAUUAUCCAUUAUCCAAUGGGUAUGGAUAAAUGGGUGUGGAUAAAUUUGGGAAGAGUAUAGAAUGGGCAAUUGAAUUCUGGGUAUGGGUGUGGAUAAGUGCCGGGUUCCCCGUACCUUCCCCAACGGCAACGCGACUCUACACCCAUCUGGUGGAUGCUUACAGCCAUCCACCAGGAUCCCGCUUCGGGGGGAAGCUGAUCCAAGCAACCGCAGCUAGCGUUUAGAUGUAAGAUCGGACGGGCAGUUUUUUUUGCUGAUGACGUGGCCGCGCGAGGGUAGAGAAGUGGUAUACAGGAAUAGAUAAUAUGGUAGAUAUCCGUCUCUUUGCCACUCGCGCCCGCGGCUGAUCCCGAUCCCGUCACGACGCUCCUCUUUCCGACGCCUGCCUCUCCGACGGAGAGAGCCAGGACCGCAGGCGGGCCUCUGGCAUCUAGAUUGCCAGUUCUCGUCGUCUCUCAGGAUCCCCAGGAAGAACAGACACUUGCCAAUGGAUGAUAACCAUGCUUGGGAAAGACGUGUGUCUCAGUUCGUAUAAGCAAGCACAAAUCUAUCAACAUGGUUGACUAAUAUCCUUAUAACUGGGUAAGGAAUGAUAUAUAUCUCGUGUUGACCUAAUGAAGCACAAAUCUGCUAACCUCGUUGAACUGGCAAAAUCCAUGGCACGGGAACUUGACUAUUAUUGGUCACUCGGUGAAAACCUUGAUAAUGGAACAACCUCAUGCAUUAUCUACAAAGUACCUCAACAUAUCCGUGAAAUUGAUAGGCUUUUUUAUGAGCCUUGCAUGCUAUCAAUUGGUCCCUACCACCAUGGAGCCACUGCCUUAGAAUCUAUGGAAAAAGAAAAAUGGGGUUAUCUUGAUAUGAUCCUUAAAAUAAACUCAGCGCGGAGCUUGCAGGAUUACCUCGUGGCUGUUGGUGAGCUACUAAGGCAGGCAAGAAGUUGUUAUUCUGAAAAUAUUGAAAUGGAUGAUGAGAAAUUUCUGCUGAUGCUCUUACUCGAUGGAUGCUUUAUUUUAGUAGCUCUCGGGGGUUUGAGAGGAAUUUUCCAACAAGUAUUCAGUAAGAACACUGAUCUUCAGGAAAUUAAAUUAGAUCAUGCAGAGGGUCAAAGUGUUGAGGAGCAAGUAAGCAAUAAGGCAGCAAAUUCAGGGAACGAGUUUGCAUGGCUGGGAUGUAACCAAACUGAUAUACAGGACGACAAAAGCAGUGAGCAGCCCUAUAACCAUUCAGGAUAUUGGUUUAGUAGAUUUAUCAAUCAUGACCUUCUCUUGUUGGAAAACCAAAUCCCCGUUUUCAUUCUGAAGAAAAUAUUUGAGCUAGUUGCUGGUAACCGGGUGCUAGAAGUGCCUUUCACAGAUGAACUCGCACAAUAUGUUGAAGUUGCUUUGCGAUGGUAUCCAAAAGCAAUCACUGAAUCUCAAAGACCAAAAGAUUUCCACCAUUUGCUUCAUUUGUGUCACACUUACUUCAGAGUUCAGACCCACCCAAAAGCCAGAGGAUGACCAUGACUAUCAGUUUCCAAUUCGAUACAUUAACAGGUUUCUUAGUUUUGGGCGCAAAUAUCUAAAGUUUAACCAACGUCCAGAAGACCGUGAACAGGGAACAUCAUUGAACUCGGAGAUAGAUUUCCUGCAAGCAGGUCAGCAGCUGAACCGCUGGCGCCGAGCUGCACAAUAUUUAGAAGCUGGAGUGAAGUUUAAGAAGAGAGAUUAUGAUAAACUUUAUCCUCAUACUCUACUUGACAUUCGUUUUCACAAUAGUGCAAUGGAACUUCCUUGUCUUGUGAUUGAUGAAUUUUCAGCAACUCUUUUCAGGAAUCUCAUAGCCUUUGAGCAAACCUGUCCUCAAUUUGGAGACGAUUUCACUGCAUAUAUAGUUUUCUUGUCCCAGCUUAUAAGCAUGCCAGAAGAUGUGACACUGCUUGCUCAGAGGGAAAUUAUUGUGCACCACUUUGAGAGUGAUGAAAGGGUGUCUGAUCUCUUUACCUUGCUCAGUAAAGAUGUGGUCUUCGAUUUCAAUGGUAAUUACUACUUGAAAUCUUUGUGCCAGACAAUGGAAGCUCACUAUCAAAGUCGCAUCAACCGGUGGAUGGCAUGGCUGUGGCUGAAUCACUUCAGCAACCCUUGGGUGGCUGUGGGUGCAUUUGCGACGGUCAUUGUCCUCGUCUGCACAAUCGUGCAGACCGUUUAUGGCAUUCUGGCGUAUGUUAAUCCGCCUGAGUAGAUGUAGCAGCAACAGAGAUGGGACAGGGCGUGUACCUACUCUUCUGAAAAAAUGUUUAAGUUCAGGUUCUGACGAAAAUAAUUAGACAUA